rnacentral:rRNA from 1 species
AUACGAGGGGUGCAAGCGUUGUUCGGAAUUACUGGGCGUAAAGGGAGCGUAGGCGGAGAUUCAAGCGGAUUGUACAAUCCCGGGGCCCGACCCCGGCUCUGCAGUCCGAACUGGAUCUCUUGGAUAGUUCAGGGGCAGGCGGAAUUCCUGGUGUAGCGGUGGAAUGCGUAGAGAUCAGGAAGAACACCGAUGGCGAAGGCAGCCUGCUGGGGACUUAUCGACGCUGAGGCUCGAAAGUGCGGGUAGCAAACAGGAUUAGAUACCCUGGUAGUCCGCACCGUAAACGAUGCAUACUGGGUGUCCGGGGGUUCCCCCGGGUACCGUAGCCAACGCGUUAAGUAUGCCGCCUGGGGAGUACGUACGCAAGUAUGAAACUCAAAUGAAUUGACGGGG